AAUUAAGAAAAAAGGGCUGGCCCCUAUAAUUAGGGGUCAGCAGCUCAUACACGUAUUUUUCUGAUAGCAAAAAUCGUUAUCAUUUUAUGAAAAAAAAUGAAUUCAGUUAUUGUUAAUAUAUUAAAUAAUGUCAUUUGGUAUCAAAUUUAAAAAGUUCUGUGCCCUAUUUUUUUCAAAUUUCAUAAAACAAAUAUGUGUGAAUCGUAACGUUACAUGAACGAGUUAAUUUGUCUACAUAGACACACAAGCGAACAAAUGCCACUUUAAGGCCCAGGCAUAUACUGCAUUACGUUGUGUUGCGUCUUAGAUAAAUAGUUGUGAUUCAAUUUCAUUUUUUUUCAUCUAUAUCAUUUAUGAAUUCAAUGAACACACAUUAUUUUAACGUUCUAUGUGCAACUAUUUGUCGGGGCGCCCCUGUUUGUAACCCCCGCGCGCGCGCCGAAUGUAAACAGUAACGAACGGCAUUGUAGAAAAGAGAGAGCCGUAAUGCAGAAGAGAAGUUGUGUAUUCUUUCGACGUACAAAUGCAUUUUCAAUUUACUGUGAAACAUAUGAACAUGCACAGGGAACAAUACUACAUAUUUGUUUAAGGAGGAUAUUUUUCUCGUGUGAAUCGUUUACGAGGAAAUUCUGACAGCCACACUUCUGUCGACGAUCAGCCGUUGAUAAGCUACGAGUAAUAAAGGGGAAAAGAUGGACAUUAAAGUGUGUGAUUUAUGUGGAUGUUACUGAAGAAGCUCAAAACAGACUCUUGUUACCACAUGGCUUUUACCGGUACCUGUUGAUUCUUGUGGGUCAGCUCCUGAGAUUAACCUGUCACCUCUAUCCACAUGCAUAUUCCUUGUGUUCUACAGACUAUUUACCGGUAAUUCAAAUUAAAUCCGAUAAUGCAUAAACAAUAAUGGAACUUGAAGAAAGCAUCAUGCCAUGUUGUGGUUUGUGUUUGAUAAGAAAUUAUGAAAACAAAAUUAAGGCUGUUUAUAAAGAAAUUCAUAAUUGCUGUGAAAAUUUGUUUUUCAAUAAAAGUAUACAAUUAUGUUUCCUUUAUUUUUUAUUUCAUAAAGAUAUUUAGAUGUGUUUACAUAAUUGAAAAAUCCCCCCCCCCUCUAUUUAAUUGUCUGCAUUAAGAUUACAUGUAGGAUAUGUAAAUGUACAUUUGACUUUGAAAUAACAUCUGCUAUGAUAAUUACUUUUGAAAUGAACAAGAAACAACCUCUUUCUACCUUUCUAAGGUAUAUAUGCAUAAAAAAAAGUAGAAAAACAUGUCAAAUUUGAAAAUUUUUCAUUGAAAUCAACUCGAUCUGUCUCCAGCUACCUGGGUGUGUUUGAAUUUAAUUUUAAUUUAAGGCAGAUGUCUAACUUGUAGGUUGUAACUUACUGUUUUAGCAUGGUUAGAAGGAGACUAGAAAUCAGAAUAGAUUAGAUAUUCACUAAAUAUGAUUGUUAGCUUACUUUUUUCAUGAAAACAAGAAAUCACAAGCAGGACAGCUGUCUAUUUGUUAAUUAAAAUGGUACAAAUCAUACAAUAAACAAAUAAAGAUCAAAUUUUAGAAUCAUUGAUGAUUGUUUUCAUAUGUGUGAGAAAUUACUCAAGGAAAUUGCCACACGUUUCAUAAAAUUAGGUAAAACAUUUCAAACCAUGACUUUUUAUGAAAAUCAAAAGAUUGGGGGGGGGGGGGUAUACAUGUAAGGGUAUUUCUAAGUGAUGUGAAGCUUUUAUCAUGAUUAUAUCAUGUAGGGGUAUGUUGUAUUGAAUAAGGUUUCUUUUUAAAGGUGGUUGAACAAAAGUUGACCUCUAAAAGGUCAGGUAAAGAUGUUUUACUAUGGAGAACCCUGUAAAUCUGUGUUUACUAAAGGAAAUUGGAAAUGGUGGGUUCACUUAAAUGGCCAUAUUUUUAUUAAACCUCAAUGGAAUUGGCAAUAUGUGGUAUUCUUUUUCUCAGAAUUGCAUUAGCUUUCUUAGUCUUUUCAUAAAAAUGUUAGUGUACUAAGUUAAAGGUACAAGGAACAGUUUCGGAUAAAGUACCGUCAAUAUUUUUGUAAAAUUGAGAGUGACUGUACUUGAAGGUUUAUCAUUGUUGCGUAGAUUCAUGAAAUGAAUUUUAAUGAUUAUCAAUAGUUAGAGGGAUGUCUCUUGUUGGAAUUGGUAAGCAAUAUUAAGGCCCCUGAUUUUAAGUACAUGAGAAGCAGAAAUAAAUUGUGAAACUUGCGGCUAUGACAGAUAUGUUGACUUUACAGUGAAAUUGAAGGUUACAAACGGGAGGUUAUAUAACAUGAAAUGUAGGUGGAUGGGAUAUUAUAUGCCUAUUUAGUAUUUACUGGGUAUGAGGACAAUAGCAAGUUUACUGUCCCCAAAGACAGCAACUAUUUAAUGAGGCAAAGCCAAGGGAAAUAGUUGCUGUGGAGUGGGACAAUAAACUUGCUAUUGUCCGAAUAGUCAGUUAAUUGGUAUUUCAUUAUACAGAAGAAAACUUUAUUUGUCAGCGAUGCACAAUUUCUUGAUGAUAAACAAAUUAGAGUUAAAUCAAACUUUGUAUUUAAUGAUGCGAUCUUAUUAGGUCAGAGGUGUUCCGAGUUUAAGGUGAUAUGGGACACUUCCAUGUUGUGACGUAUUGUUUAUCGAAAUAAACAAUAAAAUAAAGUGUAAUUAUAUAAGUACAUGUAGUUUCUUUUCAAAAAUGGUCACAUAACUCCUUAGCACAGUGGGUUAGAGGGUUACUAGGAACCUGUAAGUCAUGAGUUCGAAUCCCGCUGGGGUUUUUACAAUUUUUACCUUUUCAAAUAUUUUUAAAAGCUAUUUUUUGGUUAAAUAUUGUAAAUAUUGAUGACUAUUCACCAUGGGCAGAUAGCAUGGAUACUAUUUUAAAUUAGAUAAAAAGGCAUGUUUAUGCGGGCGCCUUCUAGUGAUCAAUUUGUCCGUCUGUCCAUCCGAGAUGGCUUGACAGGAGCAUAGCUUCUCUCCCCUUGGCCCAAUCUGGCUCAUACCUCAUCCACAGGGUUCCUUUGGUUGAAGGAUGUGCAGUGACCUUGAACCAUGUUUUUAGGUAUAAGGUUAAGGUCAUAGCAGAAUUAUAUAUAUAAAAUCCUUGUCUGGGGCAUAUCUUUUUUCCCUUUGGUCCAAUCUGGCUAAUACUCACAGAGUGUCUCUAUGGUUAAACGAUGUGCAGUGACCUUGCAUGAAAUUUCUAGGUAAAGGGUGAAGAUCAUAUCUGAUCAUGCAAAAAUCCUUUUUUGAGAGCAUAUAUAAUUUCUACUAACCCUUAUUUGGCUCAGACUUCACAUAAGCAGAGCGUUUGAGUAAAGGGUGAAAGGGUGUGUAGUGACCUUGAACCUAUUUUCAGUGAAAAGAAACUGUGAAGGUCAUAGCAGAAUUAUAUUUUAAAAAAUCCUUGUCCGGAGUAUAUCUUCUCUCCCUUUGCUCCAUUCAGCCUCAUACUUCACCCACAUGAUGCCUUUGAUCAAAAUAUAUGCAAUGACCUCGAAUGAUAUUUGUAGAUGAAGAGUCAAGGUCAUAUCAGAUCACACAAAAAUCCAUAUUUCAAGAGCAUAGAUAUACUCUCCUUUUAGCCCCAAUUUGGCUAAUAUUUUACCUUUACAGAGUUUAUUGGUUAAUGGCGUGCAGUGACCUUGAACCAAGUCUGUCAAUGUGAAGGCAGGGCUCGACAUUAACGCUUGUCCGCUUGUCCGGUACCAGUUAAAAAAAUAUGCGGACAAGUGAAUAUUGCUGGCCACUUGUCCGACUGGACAAGUGCAUUUUUUAUAGUAAGAAGUCUCCAACAUUUAAAAAAGAAAAGAAAGUUUUG